rnacentral:rRNA from 1 species
UACGUAGGGCGCAAGCGUUAUCCGGAAUUAUUGGGCGUAAAGAGCUCGUAGGCGGUUUGUCGCGUCUGCCGUGAAAGUCCGGGGCUCAACUCCGGAUCUGCGGUGGGUACGGGCAGACUAGAGUGAUGUAGGGGAGACUGGAAUUCAUGGUGUAGCAGUGAAAUGCGUAGAGAUCAUGAGGAAGACCAGUGGCGAAGGCGGGUCUCUGGACAGUUCCUGACACUGAGGCACGAAGGCCAGGGGAGCAAACGGG